rnacentral:lncRNA from 1 species
GGAGCAUUAUAUAUAUAUAUAUAUAUAUAUUUUUUAAUCAAGUUGAUUCAAGCAAUGCCUGUUAUCUAGAUUUGUUCAAUUAAUAGUUUGAUCUUUUAUUGUGGAAACAGUUAGAAUUUUUUUAAUAAAGAAAUCAAACAAUUGUUCUAUAAUCACGAACUUGAUCUGAUCUCAAUGAUAGACGACUGAAAAGUGCUGACAAGAGAAA